rfam:Myotis brandtii contig225098, whole genome shotgun sequence.
CAUGCACUGGUGGGGUCCCUCAGCCUGGCCUGUGGGGAUCGGGCCGAAACAUCCCCCAAGGGGUCCCAGAUUGUCAGAGGGUGCAGGCCAGGCCGAGGGACCCCACCGGUGCACG